CCGGACCUGACUGCUAUCGGAUUGGUACUAAGCCAUGCGAGUCAUUGUAGCAAUACAAGGCGGACGGCUCAGUAACACGUAGUCAACCUAACCUAUGGACGUGGAUAACCUCGGGAAACUGAGAAUAAACCGCGAUAGAUCAUUAUGCCUGGAAUGGCUUAUGGUUCAAACAAUUUAUUGCCGUAGGAUGGGACUGCGGCCUAUCAGCUUGUUGGUGAGGUAAUGGCCCACCAAGGCUAUAACAGGUACGGGCUCUGAGAGGAGAAGCCCGGAGAUGGGUACUGAGACACGGACCCAGGCCCUAUGGGGCGCAGCAGGCGAGAAACCUUAGCAAUGUGCGAAAGCACGACUAGGUUAAUCCGAGUGAUUCCUGUUGAAGGAAUCUUUUGUCAGUCGUAAAACCACAGACGAAUAAGGGGUGGGCAAGUCUGGUGUCAGCCGCCGCGGUAAUACCAGCACCUCGAGUGGUCAGGAGGUUUAUUGGGCCUAAAGCAUCCGUAGCCGGCUUUGCAAGUCUCCGGUUAAAUCCAGCUGCUCAACAGAUGGGCUGCCGGAGAUACUACACAGCUAGGGAGCGGGAGAGGCAGACGGUAUUCUGUGGGUAGGGGUAAAAUCCAUUGAUCCAUAGAGGACCACCAGUGGCGAAGGCGGUCUGCCAGAACGCGUUCGACGGUGAGGGAUGAAAGCUGGGGGAGCAAACCGGAUUAGAUACCCGGGUAGUCCCAGCUGUAAACGAUGCAAACUCGGUGAUGCAUUGGCUUAUGGCCAAUGCAGUGCCGCAGGAAGCCGUUAAGUUUGCCGCCUGGGAGUACGGACGCAGUCUGAAACUUAAAGGA
rnacentral:rRNA from 1 species